AGCAUGUCUGCCUGGCCAUCCAAGGAUAAAGAAAACCCAAUUUUCAUCCCAACACAUAGAGUCACCUACCAAAUCCAAUGCUCCUGCAAACACCUCUUCUCUUCAUACCUCUACUCUCUCACUCCUCCGCUCUGUCCAUAGUUAUUUUCUGCUGGGUAUUCUUGUCUCACUCCUCUGCUCUGUCUAUUGUUAUUUUUUGGUUGGGUAUUCUUUUUCUCAUUGUACGCUUCUUGUAUUGAUGAUUUAUUCCAAUCGUUCAGAAUAUGCUAGGUAUUUGUACAUUUUGUUCUAUAGGUGUUUGACAAAAUUGUUUAAUGAAUCAGGUUGUAUUAGAUUUCUUAUACACGCUCCUGCCUUCUUAAAAAAGGAAUAAAUUAGCAGAUGACUAAUUCAAACACUUCAAAGUCCCGCUCCUAUACAAAGAAGAAAGAGAAAAGUAUUACCGGUACCAAUAUAAAUCUUUUAUCAAUUCUUCGAAAUCUAGAAACUUUGAUCCUUCUUGGUUUUGAUUUUCAGAUUUUGUUCCUUACUGUACAAAUUAUUAUAAUCUAUCUCUCAUUCUUAUAUGGAAGAAGGGCUUUUUGUUGGGGAAAAAAGAAUAAGCUUAGUAGUAUCUAAUUGAGUAAGGGCUGCCAUGUACUUUUUUAGUCCUAAAUUUUAAUUGGACAAUGAUUCUCAUUCUUCUUUUUAUUUAGUCUUCUUGGUUUCUUCCGCAGUGGCUAAGCUAAAUUUUUUUUCAGGGUGUUCAAAUUUGAAAGAAAGAAAGAAAAAUCCAAUUAAGGGUGUUCAAUAUGUAUUAUAUACCUCUAAAAUAUAAUAUUUGACCUAUAUACAUAGUGUAAUUUUUCGAUGACCUUAUGACCAUGUGGCUUCGCCCCUGUCUUCACAGGUUUACCAAAUAGGCCAUACAAUAAUUUUUUUAUUCUCAUAUAUCAAUCGCUCUAGAACUGCUUCCAAUCAGGUUGCUUGGAUUUUAUUUUGGUUUCGAUUCUCUCACUAUUCUUUUUACUAUCCCUUUUUGUAAUUUUCUGCAAAUCCUUUAGUUUCCCUGGUGUACGAUGGUGAAGGGGUGUGCUGCAAGUUCCUUAGAGUUUAUAUGAAAAAGAAGGGUUGAAACUAAUGGCUUAGGCUGAAGACAAUGAGGAUAACUUAAAAGACCGAAAUCGUGUGAAGUACUUCCUUGCUCCUUAAUGAUUUUUAGAGUUUCUUUAAUGUAAACUAUUUCACUUUCAUUUUGAUUUGCCAAAACUUACUCUACUUUCUCUUCGAUAUGUACAUUAUUUGCAUGCAUGUGAUUAAUAUAUUUUUUCCAUUAAGUUUUAUUCUUUCCUGGUCUGUAGAUGUGAAUCGUUAAAUUAGUCGAGUGGCUUGGUGCAGAAAGCUAAUCCUUGAAAUUCAUCUGACCAAUUAAUUUCAAUGCGUUACAACAAGAUAAAUUUGGUACUUAAUAAUUUUUUAUACGUUAAAAUGAAUCAAUAUUAGCUGCUAUUUUUUUAAUUUGAAAUUAAACUUUUUAGGCAUUACUAUCGAAUUAGGCAUCCGCAUUUAUAUUACACACCAACUGAACUGGAUACUACCAUUCGAUCAUGGGGAAGUAAAGAACUAGAGUUAGCAUUUGUAAUUAUUUUAGACAUCGAUUGAAAUGAAACUCUACCUCUGCAUUUCCCCAUUAAAAAGGAUUAGAGUUGUGUUUACCAGUACUCUGUAUUUAAAUGAAUACUAUUUUACCUAUGUUCUCUGGUGUUUGCAUAUUGUGAUAUAUUCAGAUUUUCUUGAGUGAUGAUUAGUAUGUUACCAACAAAUAUUCAGAUUUCUUAUAGGUCGGUACUAUAUUCACCUAUCUUUGUACUGUCAAUAAAACACUUUUUACUUUCUGAACUUUCUGUUGUGUCAUUCGCACCACUGCUGGUUUUUCUAUGUUUCAGCCCUCCUUUGAGUACUUCACAAUUCCAUCUUGACCACUAUUGGAUCUUGUUAUGCUUUUGAUUACUAAUUUUUUCUUUCUAAGUUUCUUGUUGGUAGAACAUCAAAAGUUUACACUGUUAUCCGUUUCCUUAAGCAAUCCUUAUUUCAGUGCUGAAUUUUUAUCCCUUCAUUAUAUCUUCAUAUGUCAUCUGAGGCUUAGUGGUAAUGCAUGGGGAUUUAUAGCUUAUGCACUUGAUAAGUUUUAAACAAUAAAACUCUAAAAUGCACGUUAUUCCGACACCGAAUGGGAAAAUUAAAUUACCUAGUAAAGGUGGAUUCGUAAGGCAGUUCACAAACAGAACAUAUAUGUUAGAAUGCCUUUAGUAUAAUUGCUUAUUAUCACAUAGAAUUGCUUUAUAGACAAUAUUGUUUCUCCAACUCAAUUGUGUAGGUUGUUGUGCUAAUCUUGAGAAUGCUUAAUACAUGAGAAAACUUUUUACACAAGUGAAAAUUAUUGCAAUAAAAUUACCUCUCCGUCAACUAGAUUGAAGAGUUAAGAGGAUGUCUAUUUGUUUGAUUUCUACUAACGGAGAAAAUGUUAUACACUUUUUAUCUUGACAUACUUCUAGAGGCUAUAACCUGAUUAUUGAUCGUUCUUUUAUUUUGUGGCAGCCAAUAAGCACCAGUAGUCUAGGACAGGAAAUUGCAACAUCACUUAGACAACAUCAACGUCAUUUACUUGCAAAGAAUGGUGGCGCUCAAUCGCUUAAAUAUCCUGCAAGUUACUGCAGCUCAAUGUAGGUAGCUUAUUGGCACUAGAAGUUUUAACUUAUUUCAACACCUUUCAAAAGAAAUUGCAGCAUCAUCAGCUACCGCCUAAAUAGCCAAGUCGUGCAACCUCC
rnacentral:lncRNA from 1 species